GCCAUAUAGGUCCUUACUACGUAUGUUGGUUAUAUAGGUUCAGGUUCGCUGUUUGGAGUAGGAUGCACCUAAAUGAAAUCUAUCAAUCUUGAUAAAAAGAAAAAUCCUAUACGAUCAUAAAACUGAGUUCAAAAAAAUCUCUGAUCAGAGUAAGUGUGAAUACUGAAAAAGAGUUUUCAUGAAAUUCAUAAAUGAACUCGAGUCGAGCCAAUCUAGCAUAUGACUAACGAUGGGAUU
rnacentral:lncRNA from 1 species